UAUUUGCAUCAUUGUUAAACG
rnacentral:piRNA from 1 species